rnacentral:rRNA from 1 species
GACGAACGCUGGCGGCGUGCUUAACACAUGCCAGUCGAACGGAAAGGCCCUGCUUUUGUGGGGUGCUCGAGUGGCGAACGGGUGAGUAACACGUGAGUAACCUGCCCUUGACUUUGGGAUAACUUCAGGAAACUGGGGCUAAUACCGGAUAGGAGCUCCUGCUGCAUGGUGGGGGUUGGAAAGUUUCGGCGGUUGGGGAUGGACUCGCGGCUUAUCAGCUUGUUGGUGGGGUAGUGGCUUACCAAGGCUUUGACGGGUAGCCGGCCUGAGAGGGUGACCGGCCACAUUGGGACUGAGAUACGGCCCAGACUCCUACGGGAGGCAGCAGUGGGGAAUAUUGAACAAUGGGCGGAAGCCUGAUGCAGCAACGCCGCGUGCGGGAUGACGGCCGUCGGGUUGUAAACCGCUUUCGCCUGUGACGAAGCGUGAGUGACGGUAAUGGGUAAAGAAGCACCGGCUAACUACGUG